rnacentral:rRNA from 1 species
UGGGGAAUAUUGCACAAUGGGCGAAAGCCUGAUGCGGCAACGCCGCGUGAGUGAUGAAGGCCUUCGGGUUGUAAAGCUCUGUCUUUUGGGACGAUAAUGACGGUACCAAAGGAGGAAGCCACGGCUAACUACGUGCCAGCAGCCGCGGUAAUACGUAGGUGGCAAGCGUUGUCCGGAUUUACUGGGCGUAAAGGAUGCGUAGGCGGAUUUUUAAGUGAGAUGUGAAAUACCCGGGCUUAACUUGGGUGCUGCAUUUCAAACUGGGAACCUAGAGUGCGGGAGAGGAGAAUGGAAUUCCUAGUGUAGCGGUGAAAUGCGUAGAGAUUAGGAAGAACACCAGUGGCGAAGGCGAUUCUCUGGACCGUAACUGACGCUGAGGCAUGAAAGCGUGGGUAGCAAACA